UCAAUAUGCUAGAACUGAGUUACUAACAACCUAUGGCUUUAUACAAAAAGUAAGCAAUUUGAUGCUAGGUGUCCAAAGUUGAUUGGAGAGAAACUAAGAAAAAAAAAUUAAAUAAGAAAAGUAGCUUGGUCACGUGGUGUGAAAGGAAGAGAGAGAAUGUCAUCGUAUUCCUCUUUUCAUCUUCGCCAAACCAAGAACCAGAAGAAACCCAAAAAGGCCAAAAAAAAAAAAAAAUGCAGCUGAUCUACAUUGUAGUUUUGUAUCUUGAAAUUUUGCGUGUUAUUAUAUUAUCAAAUGAGUAAUGUCCUAUACAAGAAACGUUGGAUGACCCUUCUUAAAAUAUAUGCUGCUACUAUAUGCUUAUUUUUGUUGGCUGUCGAUUUUGCUUUACUGCAAGUUGUUUAUGUGCUUUCUUUUUGUAUGCAUGGAUGAACGCGUUUUAGUCAGUGUUUAUCUUUGAUCUAUGAUAUAGAUUGCUGCUGUGAUUACAUGAGUUUUAUGCUCAUUUUUAACAAUUAGGCAUCAAAGUUGAUCUCUCACUUGGAGUUCACAUUUUUUGCACAUCAUGCGAAAAGGAAAUAGAAAUAACAAAAUAAAUCAGAAGAUACAGCAUCAUACUUCUGGCACUCCCCACAGCAGAGCGCAGGCUUUUUUGCCAGUUCAAAACUAAUUGACUGAAUAGUAAAAGAUAGUAAAUUGGGACUGUAUAUGGUUUACUGGUUGCAUAAUGUUCUUGUAAGGAAGGGUGGUGUAUAAUGUGCACUCGAGUAGGAACGACAGAGAGAUGGCAACAAUGUUCUUAGAUCCUACAUUUUACAUGUUUUUCAAACGUUGUGGAACAAAUGGGCUUUCUGCUGUUUGGUUUUGAAUAUUUAUUAUCGGUUUGUUGCAGUGAGUUCUCCAUGCAUUUCAAUGCUUCUCGUAUUAAAGCUCUUCAGGCUCAUGAUGUUGUGGUUAACUCCAUGAAGGAGGUAGCAUCCAAGAAGCUUCUGAAUGUGAGCCAAGUAAAAUGAUAAUUAGUUGUCCUAUGAGAAAAGCCAAAAGAUAAUUAGGUGCAAUUUGUGAUUAAAAAGUAGUAUUAAGGACAAAGAAUUGCGUGCCUCAACAUGUGAUGCUCGUCUAUUUCCUAUCAAGUCAACAAUUUGAUGCAGAUGCAAGGCUUUCGAUGCAGAUGCAGGGCUUUUGAUUAGGAAAUUAGUAUUAUGGACAGAAUUUAGAUGCAGAUGUAGAUGCAGAGCUUUGGAGUUUGCGUGUUGUUUUUGGUAAAUUGUUAAUAAAUAAUUCGAAAGCUUGGAGCCAAAUUCAUUAAUUGUUUGUCGAUAUAGGUACUUUGCAAUGGCAGUAGCAAGGUGCACUGGGUUCAGUUGUUUGUUUCGGCUCAGUUUUUUUCUUUCUUUUUUGUUCAGUUGUUUGGUUUGGCUCAAAUGGUUCUAUUAGUAUAAUUCUGAUGGCUUGGGGAUGCUGGAAAAAGAAUAAUCUUGGAGUACAGGAAAAAGAAUAUCUAACUGUUUGCAUUUUUGUGUUGCAGAAGCUCUGGUUUGGGCCCUUGUGUAUGAUUUUAACAUUCUCAGUCGUACGACAAUGAAUUUCACUUUGUGUUCGUCAUCUCAGAGCUCAGAUACCCUUUGGUUGAGGGGUUGCCAUAUACAAACAAGAAUAUGCUAGAGGCUGAACCUUUUCUGAAGGUUGAUAAGUUCAAUAAGAAGGAUAACACUCAAGUAUCUAAUCAUGAUGCUGGAAAGCUCGUGAUGCCUAGCAAUUUGAUGCCUCGGCGCUUGAAUGGAUCAUAUGUGGGAAAGAAUAACCUCAAGGAACCUGGGCGGAAGCUGGAAUUUUUGCUUGGUUUGGCUCAAAUGGUACACUUUUGAUGGAGGAGGCCGAGCGGAUCACUAGCAGGGAGCAUAGAUUGAAAAAGGUUGCUAUUAUUUCGGGAGAAGGAACUCGUCGUUACUAUAAGAAAUUAGGCUACAAGCUUCAAGGGCCUUACAUGGUGAAACAUUUUCUAAACAAGUUGUAACUUCCAUUGCAUAACCAAGACUAUUUGAUUAUGAUUCCA